AAGAGAGAGAGCGGCGUACGGGUGCGUAACACGUGUGCAACCUACCUUUAUCUGGGGAAUAGCCUUUCGAAAGGAAGAUUAAUACCCUAUAAUAUAUUGAAUGGCAUCAUUUGAUAUUGAAAACUCCGGUGGAUAGAGAUGGGCACGCGCAAGAUUAGAUAGUUGGUGAGGUAACGGCUCACCAAGUCAAUGAUCUUUAGGGGUCCUGAGAGGGAGAUCCCCCACACUGGUACUGAGACACGGACCAGACUCCUACGGGAGGCAGCAGUGAGGAAUAUUGGACAAUGGGUGAAAGCCUGAUCCAGCCAUCCCGCGUGAAGGAUGACGGUCCUAUGGAUUGUAAACUUCUUUUGUACAGGAAUAAACCUACUCUCGUGAGAGUAGCUGAAGGUACUGUACGAAUAAGCACCGGCUAACUCCGUGCCAGCAGCCGCGGUAAUACGGAGGGUGCAAGCGUUAUCCGGAUUUAUUGGGUUUAAAGGGU
rnacentral:rRNA from 1 species